rnacentral:rRNA from 1 species
UUUCCGACCUGAACUCAGACGUGACU